rnacentral:pre_miRNA from 1 species
CUAUAGUCAAGUCUAUAGUCUAGUCUAUAGUCUAGUCUAUAGUCUAGUUUAGUUUAGACUAUAGACUAGACUUUAGACUAGCCUAUAGACUAGACUUUA